rnacentral:misc_RNA from 1 species
GGCGCCAGCGAAGGGGAGUAGCCCCCAAUCGGACAAUCGACAUACUGGCCUGGCGUGCAUACCGCAGGGCCCGGUUGUCCGGCCGGCAUCAGUGUCGGUGGGCGAGACCUUCGGCCGUAAG